GACCGCUCGCGUGACCUGAGUGGUUUAGCGUCCGCCUCAAAUGCGGCAGGACUGGGUUCGAACUCCAGCCGAGUCA